GGGCUUGACAUCCCACGAACCUGGCUGAGAGGCUGGGGUGCCGCGAGGAACCGUGAGACAGGUGCUGCAUGGCUGUCGUCAGCUCGUGUCGUGAGAUGUUGGGUUAAGUCCCGUAACGAGCGCAACCCUUGUCUUCUGUUGCCAUCGGGUCAAGCCGGGCACUCUGAAGAGACUGCCGGUGACAAACCGGAGGAAGGUGGGGAUGACGUCAAGUCAGCAUGGCCUUUAUGUCUGGGGCCACACACGUGCUACAAUGGCCGGUACAAACCGUCGCGAUCCCGCAAGGGGGAGCUAAUCGGAGAAAGCCUGUCUCAGUUCGGAUUGUCGGCUGCAACUCGCCGGCAUGAAGCUGGAAUCGCUAGUAAUCGCGGAUCAGCACGCCGCGGUGAAUACGUUCCCGGGCCUUGUACACACCGCCCGUCACAUCACGAAAGCUGGCUGUACUCGAAGUCGCUGAG
rnacentral:rRNA from 1 species